UACGAACUGUGCAAACGUUAUUCGGAAUCACUGGGCUUAAAGGGUGCGUAGGCGGCUUAUCAAGUAGGGUGUGAAAGCCCCCCGGCUUAACCGGGGAAUUGCGCCCUAAACUGACGAGCUGGAGUGGGACAGGGGUGUGUGGAACUUCCGGUGGAGCGGUGAAAUGUGUUGAUAUCGGAAGGGACGCCGGUGGCGAAAGCGACACACUGGGUCUCAACUGACGCUGAGGCACGAAAGCCAGGGGAGCGAACGGG
rnacentral:rRNA from 1 species